rnacentral:tRNA from 3 species
GCGCAGGUGGAGAAACUGGUAAACUCGUAUGCUUGAGGGGCAUAUGCCGUAAGGCUUGGGGGUUCAAGUCCCCCCCUGCGCACUA